UACGAAGGGGGCUAGCGUUGCUCGGAAUCACUGGGCGUAAAGGGCGCGUAGGCGGCCAUUCAAGUCGGAGGUGAAAGCCCAGGGCUCAACCCUGGAAUUGCCUUCGAUACUGUCUGGCUAGAGACCGGAAGAGGUAAGUGGAACUGCGAGUGUAGAGGUGAAAUUCGUAGAUAUUCGCAAGAACACCCGUGGCGAAGGCGGCACUCUGGGACGGUACUGACGCUGAGACGCGAAAGCGUGGGGAGCGAACAGG
rnacentral:rRNA from 1 species